UUGUAGGGCAGCAUAAGGGGUGGUGCUGCACUCCUGAGUGUCUCCGUCUUUUAGAUGGGAUAUUAAACCAUGGUCCCAUCUGAAGUUCCCUUAUGCCCUGCUCAAGAUCCCCCUAGUAGUAUAAAUACCACCUUGGGUCCCCCUGAAAAGAGGCCAUUAUCAUAAUAGUACUAACCCAGUCAUCAAAGGAUAAAUAAAAUAUUAAAAUAAAAAUUCCGGUUCUUUGUUUUGUUUGAUAUGUGGACACACUAAAGCCCCGUAAUAAAGCUUACACCAUCUGUUAUGCUAUGCUCAGACCCAGGAAAUCAAACUUAGUGUUAAUGAUGAUUUACUGUGACCAAUUUAAUGAUUUCUUGAAUGUGCUUGGUUAUAAAAUGUUCAACUUUUUUCACAUCUAAGAUGGUAUAGAAUGAAUUGUUAUAGUGAUGGAUUCAUGUCUUAUUGGCAAAGAAUGACACUGAUUUAAUUUUCCAGGGAAAUGCUACAAUUCCAUAAAUUAGAUUAGACUGAUUUCUGGACUACAAACAUGGAAUUUGGUAUUUUAUAUCAGACCUUUACUCAGAAAAACCUGUAUUUUUAAAUUCUUCCAGUUUGCUUUUGGUGUCAUGUACCAGACAUUGCAUUUAACCAUUAGAAUUUUACUUUAAUUUUAGUCCAUAAAAACAUGUUAAAACACUUUAAAAUCUAAAUCAGUGUCUUUGCUAUUGGGCUAAGGAUGAUUUAAGACUGCUUUACAUAGAUGUUAAGUGCAAAUGGAACCAGAGCCCCCAGGAUUGAAGAUGUACAUGGAGCCAUAGCAAAAGCUGAAAACAAGCAACAGCUCAAGUAAAACAGGCCUCAGUAUCUAGAAGUACCCACACCAUGUGGUUCAGGCUUCAAUAUCCAGCCUCUCUGGACUGAUUUAAAGGAUGUGCACCUGAUAAAAACUGCAUGAGUAAAGGAGAAUGUCUGCAUGAAAGAACUCCUAUGAAAAAAUGAAUCAAGCACUUCAUAUACUAGCCCUUAACUAAAAUGACAUCAAAUGAUAGCAUCUCAGGA